CACACAAACACACACACACACACACACACACACACACGAGAGGGAGUUAAAAACACACGAUUACAACCCCCCGGCCGCCCCCCGCCCUGACCUGGGCGAACAGGUAAACCCAUCGCUCCCAUCGCCUCGGGUCGCUCUUGAGCAGACGCUCGCUGAGGCCAACCGCCUUGUCGUACGACUGUGUCGUCAUCAGCUCCUCAAUGUAACCGUCAACCACGCUGCGAAACAGCAGCACGAAUGUACGGAGUGACGAAGAGAAAAUCACCCACAGGGUGCCCUGGGUUUUAUAGCAACGGUAACGGUAACGGUAACGGUAACGAAACACUACGUUUGGUUGCAUGCCCG
rnacentral:lncRNA from 1 species